rnacentral:lncRNA from 1 species
UUGUUUCUAUUGACCUUUUUUAAUUCAAUGUGUUUCGCGUUUGAUUGAUGCCUACCAUGGAAGCGCGCUUCUGGACCAUUAGAUGUGUCCACGUCAAUUAAUGAGUUCCAUCCAACGCUUCCUGAUUUUUCUAUUUUUCUAAUUUCUGUUUUAUUUUCUUUUAUUCCAUUUUAUUUCAAAAAUUUAUAACUAUUUUAUUUGGAAUCACAAAAAUAUGAGACCAACACAAAAAAAUUUCUUGAAAAAUCUAGUUUCAUAAUCUGAUUUUUA